rnacentral:rRNA from 1 species
UAGUAACGGCGAGUGAAGAGGGAAUAGCUUCAAUUUUGAAUCUGGUGUCUUUGGCGCCCGAGUUGUAAUCUAGAGAAGUGUUUUCUGCCUCGGACCACACAUAAAUUCCCUGGAAUGGGGUGUCAUAGAGGGUGAGAAUCCCGUUUGUGGUGUGGACUACCUUGGCUCUGUGAUACACUCUCAACGAGUCGAGUUGUUUGGGAAUGCAGCUCAAAAUGGGUGGUAAAUUCCAUCUAAAGCUAAAUAUUGGCGAGAGACCGAUAGCGAACAAGUACCGUGAGGGAAAGAUGAAAAGCACUUUGGAAAGAGAGUGAAACAGUACGUGAAAUUGUUGAAAGGGAAGCGUUUGAAGUCAGUCACAUCGGUCGGAAUUCAGCCUGGCUUUGCCUGGUGUACUUUUUGGCAGAUGGGUCAGCGUCAAUUUUGACUGAGGGAAAAAGACUUGAGGAAUGUGGCUGUCUUCGGGCAGUGUUAUAGCCUCUUGUUGUAUGUCUCAGUUGGGAUUGAGGACCGCAGCACGCCUUAUGGCCGGGGUUCGCGCCCUCGGAACGUGCUUAGGA